AGGGCACCACCAGGAGUGGAGCCUGCGGCUUAAUUUGUCUCAACACGGGGAAACUCACCCGGCCCGGACACCGUGAGGAUUGACAGAUUGAUAGCUCUUUCAUGAUUCGGUGGUUGGUGGUGCAUGGCCGUUCUUAGUUCGUGGAUCGAUUUGUCUGGUUUAUUCCGAUAACGAGCGAGACUCUAGCCUACUAAAUAGUAACGAGAUUACCACUGUCUCGGUUGCUUCUUAGAGGGAUUUUCGGUGUUUAGCCGCACGAGAUUGAGCAAUUUUUUUUUUUGUGAUGCCCUUAGAUGUCCGGGGCUGCACGCGCGCUACACUGGCGAAAUCAGCGUGCAGUAUCCAUUCUCGAAAGAGAUUGGUAAACCCAUGAAAAUUUGCCGUGAUUGGGAUCGGAAAUUGCAAUUAUUUUCCGUGAACGAGGAAUUCCAAGUAGGUGCGAGUCAUCAACUCGCCCUGAUUACGUCCCUGCCCUUUGUACACACCGCCCGUCGCUGCCCGGGACUGAGCCAUUUCGAG
rnacentral:rRNA from 1 species